rnacentral:rRNA from 1 species
GAGGUGUGGGUAGCGGAGAAAUUCCAAUCGAACUUGGAGAUAGCUGGUUCUCUCCGAAAUCGCUUUAGGGCUAGCCUCGAGGUAAAGAGUCAUGGAGGUAGAGCACUGUUUGGUCUAGGGGCCCUUGUCGGGUUAGCGAAUUAAGAUAAACUCCGAAUGCCAUGUACUUAUACUCGGGAGUCAGACUGCGAGUGAUACGAUCCGUAGUCGAAAGGGAAACAGCCCAGACCACCAGCUAAGGUCCCCAAAUAUUUGUUAAGUGGCAAAGGAUGUGGGGUUGCUUAGACAACCAGGAUGUUGGCUUAGAAGCCGCCACCAUUGAAAGAGUGCGUAAUAGCUCACCGGUCGCGUGACCCCG